CAGCCGCGCGGUAAUACGGAGGGUGCAAGCGUUAAUCGGAAUUACUGGGCGUAAAGCGCACGCAGGCGGUUUGUUAAGUCAGAUGUGAAAUCCCCGGGCUCAACCUGGGAACUGCAUUUGAAACUGGCAAGCUAGAGUCUCGUAGAGGGGGGUAGAAUUCCAGGUGUAGCGGUGAAAUGCGUAGAGAUCUGGAGGAAUACCGGUGGCGAAGGCGGCCCCCUGGACGAAGACUGACGCUCAGGUGCGAAAGCGUGGGGAGCAAACAGGAUUAGAUACCCCUGUAGUCCCUGUCUCUUAUACA
rnacentral:rRNA from 1 species